GGGGGUGUAGCUCAGGGGUAGAGCGCUUGCUUCGCAUGCAUGAGGCCGCGGGUUCGAUUCCCUCCUCCUCCA
rfam:Leucosporidium creatinivorum strain 62-1032 BCR35scaffold_11, whole genome shotgun sequence.